rnacentral:rRNA from 1 species
UACGUAGGGUGCAAGCGUUGUCCGGAAUUAUUGGGCGUAAAGGGCUCGUAGGCGGUCCAUCGCGUCGGGAGUGAAAAGCUGGGGCUUAACCCCAGUCCUGCUUCCGAUACGGGUGGACUAGAGGUAGGUAGGGGAGAACGGAAUUCCUGGUGUAGCGGUGAAAUGCGCAGAUAUCAGGAGGAACACCGAUGGCGAAGGCAGGUCUCUGGGCCACUACUGACGCUGAGAAGCGAAAGCAUGGGGAGCGAACAGG